rnacentral:tRNA from 1 species
GCGGAUGUAGUUCAAUGGUAGAACGAGAGCUUCCCAAGCUUUAGACGAGGGUCCGAUUCCCUUCAUCCGCU